ensembl:misc_RNA Metazoa_SRP Metazoan signal recognition particle RNA
GCCGGGUGUGGUGGCUCACACCUGUAAUCCCAGCACUUUGGGAGGCCGAGGCAGGUGGGUCACCUGAGGUCAGGAGUUCGAGACCAGCCUGGCCAACAUGGUGAAACCCCGUCUCUA